AACGAACGCUGGCGGCAGGCUUAACACAUGCAAGUCGAGCGCCCCGCAAGGGGAGCGGCAGACGGGUGAGUAACGCGUGGGAAUCUACCCAUCUCUACGGAAUAACUCAGGGAAACUUGUGCUACUACCGUAUACGCCCUUUUGGGGACAGAUUUAUCGGAGAUGGAUGAGCCCGCGUUGGAUUAGCUAGUUGGUGGGGUAAAGGCCUACCAAGGCGACGAUCCAUAGCUGGUCUGAGAGGAUGAUCAGCCACAUUGGGACUGAGACACGGCCCAAACUCCUACGGGAGGCAGCAGUGGGGAAUAUUGGACAAUGGACGCAAGCCUGAUCCAGCCAUGCCGCGUGAGUGAUGAAGGCCCUAGGGUUGUAAAGCUCUUUCACCGGAGAAGAUAAUGACGGUAUCCGGAGAAGAAGCCCCGGCUAACUUCGUGCCAGCCGCCGCGGUAA
rnacentral:rRNA from 1 species